GUGGGUAUAGCGCAGUUGGUUAGCGCCAGAUUGUGGCUCUGGAGGCCAAGGGUUCGAAUCCCUUUAUCCACC
rnacentral:tRNA from 1 species